AAAAAGAUAAGCUAAUUAAGCUAAAGGGUUCAUACCCCUUAAAUGAAGGUUCAGUCCUUCUCUUUUUA
rnacentral:tRNA from 1 species